AAAAACAAACAAGGGCAUACGGGGAAUGCCUAGGCUCUGCAAGGCGAAGAAGGACGUGAUAAGCUGCGAAAAGCCGCGGGGAGGUGCAAAUAACCGAUAAUCCGCGGAUAUCCGAAUGGGGCAACCCACCAUAUAAAUGGUACCUCGAAACGAGGAGCGAACCCUCUGAACUGAAACAUCUAAGUAAGAGGAGGAAGAGAAAACAACAGUGAUACCGCAAGUAGUGGCGAGCGAACGCGGCACAGCCCAAACCGGACACGUUUAGGCGUAUCCGGGGUAGUAGGACUGCGAGAUACAAGUAUAAAAAGAACCGGAACGGCAUGGAAAGGCCGUCCGUAGAAGGUGAAAGACCCGUACGGGCAAUUUUUAUACGCGUUAGCAGUAUCCUGAGUAGGUCGGGGCACGAGAAACCCAGACUGAAACCGGCGGGACCACCCGCCAAGGCUAAACACUCAGCAGAGACCGAUAGUGAACAAGUACCGUGAGGGAAAGGUGAAAAGAACCUUGAAUAAAGGAGUGAAAAAGACCCUGAAACCGUAUGCCUACAAGCGGUCGGAGCCCAUUCAUUGGGUGACGGCGUGCCUUUUGCAUAAUGAUCCUACGAGUUACUGUUACCGGCAAGGUUAAGCGCUUCAGGCGCGUAAGCCGCAGCGAAAGCGAGUCUUAAAAGGGCGAAUUAGUCGGUAGUAGUAGACGCGAAACCUUGUGAUCUACCCAUGGCCAGGUUGAAGUGGGGGUAACACCCCAUGGAGGACCGAAUCGGUAAGCGUUGAAAAGCUUUCGAAUGAGCUGUGGGUAGGGGUGAAAGGCCAAUCAAACUGGGAAAUAGCUCGUACUCCCCGAAAUGCAUUUAGGUGCAGCGUCGCGGUUAAGUGAUAUAUAGGUAGAGCUACUGAUUGAAUGCGGGGGCUUCACCGCCUACCAAUUUCAGACAAACUCCGAAUAGUAUAUCACAUACGCGGCAGUGAGGGCAUGGGUGCUAAGGUCCAUGCCCGAGAGGGAAACAACCCGGACCAACAGCUAAGGUCCCCAAAUAUACGCUAAGUUGAAAAAACGAAGUAGAACUGCACAGACAGCCAGGAAGUUGGCUUGGAAGCAGCCAUUCUUUUAAAGAGUGCGUAACAGCUCACUGGUCGAGCGGUUCUGCAUGGAGAAUAAGCGGGCAUAAGCGUAUUACCGAAGCUAUGGCAGAUAAGAAUCUGGGUAGGGGAGCAUUCCGUACAGCGCAGAAUCGGUAUUGUAAAGUACCGUGGAGCGUACGGAAAAGCAAAUGUAGGAAUAAGUAACGAUAAAGCGGGCGAGAAACCCGCUCACCGAAAGACCAAGGGUUCCCCGGCUAUGUUAAUCAGCCGGGGGUCAGUCGGGCCCUAAGGACAAGCCGAAAACAGGCUACUCCGAUGGACAAACGUUUAAUAUUACGUUACUCGUAUCGAGUGCGACGGGGCGACCUGGUAAUACCUCUUCGCGUGCUGACGGAAUAGCACGUUAAAGACUUUACUGGGCCGGGAGGCAAAUCCCCCGGCGGAAAGGUAAAGUUGAUAGUACACCCAAGCUACGGCGACGGUGAUAGCAAGACUAAAGAUCAGCAAGAAAAACCUCUAAGCUUCAGCUCGAUACGACCCGUACCGGAAACCGACACAGGUGGUCGAGAAGAGAAUUCUAAGGUGCUCGAGAGAUUCAUGGCUAAGGAACUAGGCAAAAUAGACCUGUAACUUCGGGAAAAAGGUCACCGCAGCAAUGCGGUCUCAGAAAAUAGGUCCAGGCGACUGUUUAACAAAAACACAGGACUUUGCAAAAUCGAAAGAUGACGUAUAAGGUCUGACACCUGCCCGGUGCUGGAAGGUUAAGAGGAGAUGUCCGCAGCAAUGCAAAGCAUUGAAUUGAAGCCCCAGUAAACGGCGGCCGUAACUAUAACGGUCCUAAGGUAGCGAAAUUCCUUGUCGGGUAAGUUCCGACCUGCACGAAUGGU
rnacentral:rRNA from 1 species